CUACGUGCCAGCAGCCGCGGUAAUACGUAGGUGGCAAGCGUUGUCCGGAAUUAUUGGGCGUAAAGGGCGCGCAGGCGGCUUCUUAAGUCUGUCUUAAAAGUGCGGGGCUUAACCCCGUGAUGGGAUGGAAACUGGGAAGCUCAGAGUAUCGGAGAGGAAAGCGGAAUUCCUAGUGUAGCGGUGAAAUGCGUAGAUAUUAGGAAGAACACCAGUGGCGAAGGCGACUUUCUGGACGAAAACUGACGCUGAGGCGCGAAAGCCAGGGGAGCGAACGGGAUUAGAUACCCCGGUAGUCCUGGCCGUAAACGAUGGGUACUAGGUGUAGGAGGUAUCGACCCCUUCUGUGCCGGAGUUAACGCAAUAAGUACCCCGCCUGGGGAGUACGACCGCAAGGUUGAAACUCAAAGGAAUUGACGGGGGCCCGCACAAGCGGUGGAGUAUGUGGUUUAAUUCGACGCAACGCGAAGAACCUUACCAGGUCUUGACAU
rnacentral:rRNA from 1 species